UGACUCAACGCGGGAAAUCUUACCGGGUCCGGACAUAUCGAGGAUUGACAGACAGUUACCAUGCCCUUUCGAAAGGAGUCAGGUUUUAAACCUAAUGGCUCUUUCAUGAUUAUAUGAUAGGUGGUGCAUGGCCGUUCUUAGUUCGUGGAGUGAUCUGUCUGCUUAAUUGCGUUUCAAAUUUUUAUUUGAGGACCAGGUUUUGGUUUGGGUAGUGGUCCUACGAUGACUGUGAACUGUCAUGUCUUCGGAUGUGCGACUAUCGGUCUAGGAUCGCAUCUCAGCCCCUGGGACUCUUUUGAACGCAACGGACGUGAUUGCAACCCCUUGUUGAGAUUAGAGGAGUCUCGAUAUUCAUUGGCCAAACUUACCGCUUCGAGCUUGCUCGUGCAGUUUUGUUAGCCGGUGGAUAAACUCGGGGGACUGCUGACUAUAACCAUUUCUCAAAACAGAGGAAGGUGCG
rnacentral:rRNA from 1 species